rnacentral:lncRNA from 1 species
GAAGACUCCGGGCCGUCGCUGAAGACUCCGGGCUGCGGGCCGUCUCAGGAGGUUCCGGGCUGCGGGCCGUCUCAGGAGGUUCCGGACUGGGAACUGUCGCCGGAAGCUCUGGACUGGGAACUGUCGCCGGAAGCUCUGGCCUGGGAACUGUCGUCGGAAGCUCUGGACUGGGAACGUGCACUGGAGGCCUGAUGCGUGGGGCUGGCAUAGGUGGCGCCAGACUAGUAACACGCAACUCAGGGCGAGUGAGGGGAGCAGGAACAGGACACCCCGGACUGAGCAGGUGCACUGGAGGCCUGAUGCGUGGGGCUGGCAUAGGUGGCACCAGACUGGUAACACGCACCUCAGGGCAAGUGCGGGAAGCAGGAACAGGGCGUACCAGGCUGGAUAGACUCACUGGAGACCGGGUACGUGGGGCAGGCACAGGAUAUACUGGACCGUGGAGGCGCACUGGAGGUCUCGAGCGUAGAGCUGGCACAACCCGUCCUGGCUGGAUGCUUACUUUCGCCCGGCAAACGCGGGGAGCUGGCACAGGACGAACUGGGCUGUGAAUACGCACUGGCGACACAGUGCGCAGCGCCGGCGCAGGAUAUCCUGGACCGAGAAGGCGAACUGGAGACCAGGAGCGCUGAGCUGGCACCACCCUUCCUGGCUGAAUGCUCAACCGAGCUCGGCAAAUGCAGGGCGCGGGCACAGAUCACACCGGGCUGUGAAUAACACGAAUAACACGCAUAACACGGUGCUUGCUUCGUCACUCGCUCCCCAAGGUAAGCACGGGGAGUUGGCUCAGGUCUCCACCCUGGCUCUGCCAAUCUCCCCGUGUGCCCCCCCGCCUCUCGGGCUUCCGUCGUUGCUGUGACUCCCU